GACGAACGCUGGCGGCGUGCCUAAUACAUGCAAGUUGAGCGCUGAAGGUUGGUACUUGUCCCAACUGGAUGAGCAGCGAACGGGUGAGUAACGCGUGGGGAAUCUGCCUUUGAGCGGGGGACAACAUUUGGAAACGAAUGCUAAUACCGCAUAAAAACUUUAAACACAAGUUUUAAGUUUGAAAGAUGCAAUUGCAUCACUCAAAGAUGAUCCCGCGUUGUAUUAGCUAGUUGGUGAGGUAAAGGCUCACCAAGGCGAUGAUACAUAGCCGACCUGAGAGGGUGAUCGGCCACAUUGGGACUGAGACACGGCCCAAACGCCUACGGGAGGCAGCAGUAGGGAAUCUUCGGCAAUGGACGAAAGUCUGACCGAGCAACGCCGCGUGAGGGAAGAAGGUUUUCGGAUCGUAAAACUCUGUUGGUAGAGAAGAACGUUGGUGAGAGUGGAAAGCUCAUCAAGUGACGGUAACUACCCAGAAAGGGACGGCUAACUACGUG
rnacentral:rRNA from 1 species